AAUGAACGUUGGCGGCGUGGAUUAGGCAUGCAAGUCGUACGGGUCGGUGUAGCAAUACAACGGCAAGUGGCGAAAGGGGGAGUAACACGUAGAUACCUACCCUCUGGUCGGGGAUACCGCGGCAUAACCGCAAGUAAUACCCGAUAAAAUCUCCGGAUCAAAGGUGUGAUUCCGCCGGAGGAGGGGUCUGCGUUCUAUCAGCUUGUUGGUGAGGUAAUGGCUCACCAAGGCUAAGACGGAUACGGGGUGUGAGAGCAUGCCCCCGCUCACUGGGACUGAGACACUGCCCAGACACCUACGGGUGGCUGCAGUCGAGAACCUUCGGCAAUGGGCGCAAGCCUGACCGAGCGACGCCGCGUGCGGGAUGAAGGCCUUCGGGUUGUAAACCGCUGUCGAGGGGGAUAAAGUGCAGGUGGGUUCUCCCAUUUGUUUGAUAGAUCCCUGGAGGAAGCAUGGGCUAAGUUCGUGCCAGCCGCCGCGGUAAAAC
rnacentral:rRNA from 1 species